GGUAAAAUGGCUGAGUAAAGCAUUAGACUGUAAAUCUAACUACGAGACGUUAGUCUCUUUUACCA
rnacentral:tRNA from 1 species